UACGUAGGGUGCAAGCGUUGUCCGGAAUUAUUGGGCGUAAAGAGCUCGUAGGCGGUCCGUCACGUCGGCUGUGAAAACCUGGGGCUCAACCCCGGGCCUGCAGCCGAUACGGGCGGACUAGAGUUCGGUAGGGGAGACUGGAAUUCCUGGUGUAGCGGUGAAAUGCGCAGAUAUCAGGAGGAACACCGGUGGCGAAGGCGGGUCUCUGGGCCGACAUUGACGCUGAGGAGCGAAAGCGUGGGGAGCGAACAGG
rnacentral:rRNA from 1 species